GACGAACGCUGGCGGCGUGCUUAACACAUGCAAGUCGAACGGAAAGGCCCGGCUUUUGUGGGGUGCUCGAGUGGCGAACGGGUGAGUAACACGUGAGUAACCUGCCCUUGACUUUGGGAUAACUUCAGGAAACUGGGGCUAAUACCGGAUAGGAGCUCCUGCUGCAUGGUGGGGGUUGGAAAGUUUCGGCGGUUGGGGAUGGACUCGCGGCUUAUCAGCUUGUUGGUGGGGUAGUGGCUUACCAAGGCUUUGACGGGUAGCCGGCCUGAGAGGGUGACCGGCCACAUUGGGACUGAGAUACGGCCCAGACUCCUACGGGAGGCAGCAGUGGGGAAUAUUGCACAAUGGGCGGAAGCCUGAUGCAGCAACGCCGCGUGCGGGAUGACGGCCUUCGGGUUGUAAACCGCUUUCGCCUGUGACGAAGCGUGAGUGACGGUAAUGGGUAAAGAAGCACCGGCUAACUACGU
rnacentral:rRNA from 1 species